GGGAGUUGUAGUUCAGCAACAUCUAUAGGGCUGGAGUUGGGGGAAGCCUGGUUUACAGUGUUCCUUUCCCGAAUUUAUCUGCAAAGCACUUACCAUCUGGAAGUUCUCAUGGAGACUGACAAAGCUAUUCACUAAAAAUGAAGAGAACUGAAAAUGAAUUUAAACUUAAGGCCAAAGUAACCAAAUAGUAAGCAUAACAGAAGCAUUUCAAUUCAGCUAUAUUAC